ACACGUAGCUAACCUGCCCUAGAGAGGGGGAUAUCCUCGGGAAACUGAGGGUAAACCCCCAUAGGUAACGAGUUCUGGAAUGACUCGUUACCGAAAGUAGGCUAGGAGAAUGGUCCUAGCCUAGCUCUAGGAUGGGGCUGCGGCCGAUCAGGUAGUUGGUGAGGUAACGGCUCACCAAGCCUGUGACCGGUGCGGGCCGUGAGAGCGGGAGCCCGGAGAUGGACUCUGAGACAAGAGUCCAGGCCCUACGGGGCGCAGCAGGCGCGAAACCUCCGCAAUGCGCGCAAGCGCGACGGGGUCACCCCGAGUGCCACCUUUAUGGUGGCUUUUGCCUAGUGUAAAAAGCUAGGCGAAUAAGGGGGGGGCAAGACGGGUGUCAGCCGCCGCGGUAAUACCCGCUCCCCGAGUGGUGGGGACUUUUAUUGGGCUUAAAGCGUCCGUAGCGGGCCUAGUAAGUUUCCCGUUAAAUCCAGUGGCCUAACCACUGGGCUGCGGGAAAUACUGCUAGGCUUGGGGGUGGAAGAGGCCACCGGUACUCCUAGGGUAGGGGUAAAAUCCUCUGAUCCUAGGAGGACCACCAGUGGCGAAGGCGGGUGGCCAGGACACGCCCGACCGUGAGGGACGAAAGCUGGGGGAGCAAACGGGAUUAGAUACCCCGGUAGUCCCAGCUGUAAACGAUGCAGACUAGGUGUAGGAGUGGCUACGGGCCACUCCUGUGCCGAAGGGAAACCAUUAAGUCUGCCGCCUGGGGAGUACGGCCGCAAGGCUGAAACUUAAAGGAAUUGGCGGGGGAGCACCACAAGGGGUGGAUGUUGCGGCUUAAUUGGAGUCAACGCCGGAAACCUUACCAGGGGAGACAGCAGGAUGAAGGCCAGGUUAAAGGCCUUGCCAGACAAGCUGAGAGGAGGUGCAUGGCCGUCGCCAGUGCGUGCCGUGAGGCGUCCUGUUAAUUCAGGCAACGGACGAGACCCCCACCCCUAGUUGCUACCAGAUACGAAAGUAUCUGGGCACUCUAGGGGGACUGC
rnacentral:rRNA from 1 species